rnacentral:rRNA from 1 species
AAACUUCACAAUGGGCGAAAGCCCGAUGAGGGAAUUCCUAGUGCUAGCACAUUUGUGUUAGCUUUUCCUUAGCGUAGAUAACUAGGGGAAUAAGGGCUGGGUAAGACGGGUGCUAGCCGCCGCGGUAAUACCCGCAGCCCGAGUGGUGGUCGAUUUUAUUGAGUCUAAAACGUUCGUAGCCGGUCUGAUAAAUCUCUGGGUAAAUCGGAAGGCUCAACUUUCCGAAUUCCGGAGAGACUGCUAGACUUGGGAUCGGGAGAGGUAAGAGGUACUUCAGGGGUAGGGUAAAAUCCUGUAAUCCUUGGAGGACCACCGGUGGCGAAGGCGUCUUACUAGAACGAAUCCGACGGUGAGGGACGAAGCCCUAGGUCGCAAACGGGAUUAGAUACCCCGGUAGUCUAGGGUGUAAACGCUGCAGACUUGGUGUUGGGGACCCUUCGUGGGUAUUCAGUGCCGGAGAGAAGUUGUUAAGUCUGCUACUUGGGGAGUACGUCCGCAAGGAUGAAACUUAAAGGAAUU